AUUGAACGCUGGCGGCAGGCCUAACACAUGCAAGUCGAACGAGUGGCGGACGGGUGAGAAAUGUCCGGGAGACUUUGCGCUGGCGAGGGGUAAAUACUGUAAACGGGACCUAUUAUCGCAUACGCGCGUGUGUGUCCAGAGGGGAUUAGCUAGUAGGUGGGGUAAAGGCGCACCUAGGCGACGAUCCCUAGCUGGUCUGAGAGGAUGACCAGCCACACUGGAACUGAGACACGGUCCAGACUCCUACGGGAGGCAGCAGUGGGGAAUAUUGCACAAUGGGCGCAACCCUGAUGCAGCCAUGCCGCGUGUAUGAAGAAGGCCUUCGGGUUGUAAAGCACUUUCAGCGGGGAGGCGUUACCCGCAGAAGAAGCACCGGCUAACUCCGUGCCAGCAGCCGCGGUAAUUC
rnacentral:rRNA from 1 species